rnacentral:rRNA from 1 species
AAGCUUAGUUGCCAUCAUUAAGUUGGGCACUCUAAGUUGACUGCCGGUGACAAACCGGAGGAAGGUGGGGAUGACGUCAAAUCAUCAUGCCCCUUAUGAUUUGGGCUACACACGUGCUACAAUGGACAAUACAAAGGGCAGCGAAACCGCGAGGUCAAGCAAAUCCCAUAAAGUUGUUCUCAGUUCGGAUUGUAGUCUGCAACUCGACUACAUGAAGCUGGAAUCGCUAGUAAUCGUAGAUCAGCAUGCUACGGUGAAUACGUUCCCGGGUCUUGUACACACCGCCCGUCACACCACGAGAGUUUGUAACACCCGAAGCCGGUGGAGUAACCUUUUAGGAGCUAGCCGUCGAAGGUGGGACAAAUGAUUGGGGUGAAGUCGUAACAAGGUAGCCGUAUCGGAAGGUGCGGCUGGAUCACCUCCUUUCUAAGGA